UACGUAGGGGGCAAGCGUUGUCCGGAAUCAUUGGGCGUAAAGAGCGUGUAGGCGGUCCGGUCAGUCGGUUGUGAAAGUCAAGGGCUCAACCCUUGAAUGCCGGCCGAUACUGCCGGGCUAGAGUCCGGAAGAGGUGAGUGGAAUUCCUGGUGUAGCGGUGAAAUGCGCAGAUAUCAGGAAGAACACCCGUGGCGAAGGCGGCUAUCUGGACGGUUUCUGACACUAAGACUCGAAAGCGUGGGGAGCAAACAGG
rnacentral:rRNA from 1 species